rnacentral:rRNA from 1 species
GACGAACGCUGGCGGCGUGCCUAAUACAUGCAAGUAGGACGCAGUUGCGAACGGGUGAGUAACGCGUAGGUAUCUGCCUAUUUGAGGGGGGUAAAUAUUGGAAACGCUAGCUAAAACCCCAUACUAGUAGAUGGACCUGCGUUGUAUUUGGUAGUAGGUUGGGUAAUGGCCUACCUAGGCGACGAUACAUAGCCGACCUGGGGAGGGGAUCGGCCACACUGGGGCUGAGAAACGGCCCAGAAUCCUAAGGGAGGGAGCAGUAGGGAAACGUCGGCAAAGGGGCGAACGCUGACCGGGCAACGCCGGGGGGAUGAAGAAGGUUUUCGGAUCGUAAAGCUCUGUUGGUAAGGAAGCGGUACUUAACCAGAAAGGGACGGCUAACUACGUGCCAGCAGCCGCGGUAAUAC